UCAGCCAACAACUUUGCAAAUAUGAUGAACACUGAGGAUCCUGAGAUGGAUCGAUUAUCCUGGAUUACCUGGGUGGGCCCAAUCUAGUCCAUGAGUUCUUAAAAGUGGAAGAGGAAGGCAGAAGAGUGGGUCAGAGUUAUGCCACGAGAAGGGCUCCUCGACCCUGAAAGAGCUCCUUUAGCAAUUCCGAUGUGAAAAGAAGAUGGAUGGAGAAGCACUGAUUCAGCCAUGGCUGACAUGUCGGAGUUGGAAUGGACAGUGCCCGGACCUCACAGUCUCAGAGAACUGGAGAAGAGUAAAGCUGAAGAGGGCACCAUCUGGUUACAAAUGACAAGUCCAGGGCUCCAGAACUCAGGCCAUGUAGAGAGGCCACAUGGGAACUGAGGUUCCUAGUCCUCAGCUUCCACUGAGCUCCCGGCCAACAGCCAGCAAUAACUUGCCAGACAUGUGCACGGGCCAUCUUGGAAGCAGAGGAUCCAGCCCUCAGGCAAGAUGCCCCAGUUGAUUCCACGUGAACUAGGAAUGAGCCCUCCUGCUGAGCUCUGCCCAAAUUACAGAUCUGUGAGCAAACUAAAUGACAGUUGUAUUAAGCUACACAGAAAUAGAUAACUGAAAUACCACCCAUGUCUUUCUUUCCAAACUUAGUUAACUGAGUCUGAGCUAAAGAGAAUUCACACUGUGUAUCUUAUACUGAAUACCCACUAUAUCUGGGGCAUGAUCGCUAA